rfam:Acyrthosiphon pisum strain LSR1 Contig20621, whole genome shotgun sequence.
AUACUUACUUGGCGUCGAGGUUAACCGUGAUCAACGAGGCGGUUCCUCCAGGACGAGACUUGCCCAUUGCACACCGGGCUGGUUGACCCCUGCGAGUAUUCCUAAUGCGAAUACCUCGGACGCGUAAUUUUUGGUAGCGGGGAUCGCGUUCGCGCGUCCCAC